UCCCUGGUAGUAUAUCGGUUAGUACACGCGCCUGUCAUGCAGUGAUUUGAGAGUUGAACAGUAAUUGGUCGCGCGAAAGCUGGGUUCGACUCCCAGCCAGGGAG